GUAAUAGUUAUGAUCUUGAAACUUAAAAAAUUUGGCGGUAUUUUAGUCUAUUCAGAGGAAUUUGUUUUAUAAUCGAUAAACCACGUUGGACCUUUCUUGAAUUUGUAAUCAGUUUAUAUACCGUCGUUAUCAGAAUAUUUUAUAAGAAAAAUAAUUUUCUUUAAUUAAAAAAAUAAUUUAUUUCAGAUCAAGGUGUAGCUAAUGUUUAAGAAAAAAUGAAUUACAAUAAAUUUAUUUAGAUGAAUUUAAAUAUGAAAAAUUUAAUGAAAGUGGAUUUGAGAGUAAAUUUAUAAAGAU
rnacentral:rRNA from 1 species